rnacentral:rRNA from 1 species
CCUACGGGAGGCAGCAGUGGGGAAUCUUGCGCAAUGGGCGAAAGCCUGACGCAGCAACGCCGCGUGCGGGAAGAAGGCUUUCGGGCUGUAAACCGCUUUCAGCAGGAACGAAAAUGACGGUACCUGCAGAAGAAGGAGCGGCCAACUAUGUGCCAGCAGCCGCGGUGAUACAUAGGCUUCAAGCGUUGUCCGGAUUUAUUGGGCGUAAAGAGUUCGUAGGCGGUCGAGUAAGUCGGGUGUGAAAAUUCUGGGCUCAACCCAGAGACGCCACCCGAUACUGCUUGACUUGAGUUCGAUAGGGGAGUGGGGAAUUCCUAGUGUAGCGGUGAAAUGCGCAGAUAUUAGGAGGAACACCGGUGGCGAAGGCGCCACUCUGGAUCGAUACUGACGCUGAGGAACGAAAGCAUGGGUAGCAAACAGGAUUAGAUACCCUGGUAGUCCAUGCCGUAAACGGUGGGCACUAGGUGUGGGUUUCUAUUAACGAAAUCCGCGCCGUCGCUAACGCAUUAAGUGCCCCGCCUGGGGAGUACGGUCGCAAGACUAAAACUUAAAGGAAUUGAACGGCUGAGAGUGCGAGACGACACGAGGAGGAGG